GCCUGGUGUGCUGCAGUCCAUGGGGUCACAAAGAGUUGGACAAGACUGAGCGACUAAACUGAGUGUUUUCAAACUGUAUGACAAAAAGCUGUCAUUCAUAGCCUGAGACUAAGUUUGGAUCAGGACUGGAUUUUGUGGUCUCAUUUUUGACCCACUUUAACCAUACCUUCUGCUACAAAAUCUUAGACAAAUUCAAUUACUGGCCAGACUCAAUCACUGGGUCACUGAUGCUAGUCUCUGAUGGUCUUUGAAACAAUGCAAGAGGAAGAAAUCAAGAUCCUAUUAUCACCUUUGUUCCUCAUCAUGGACCCCUGACUGCAACCCCUUGCCUUAUAUAAACCCCUAGACUCCUCAUGGAGGGUGGGCACAGUUGUUGAGGCAUGAGCCUUCUGUUUUCCCCUCUCGGCUGACUGAGAAUAAAAGCCACCUUUCUAUUUCCUCAUAUUUUUUAUUCAGCUUUGGUGGGCAGAGAAGGGCAAAAUCUUGACCAGUAGCAAUUUGGGGGGCUCAUCCGGGAUCUGAUCAUGGGCAGGUGGCCCUGUAGGGACCCUUGGCUUGAUGGAAAGCUCAGGAUCUCUCCCCAUGCCUCCUUUGGAAGAGCAGAAGAUGAGGGAUUUCUCUAAGGCUGUGCCGCAUCAGACCCGACCGCUUACUCAACUUCAGAACUCUGGGCUGUGACAGAGAAUGGGAGAGAGGUUAUCCUUUGCAGCUGCCAAAAAUCUCUUUCACCUGGACACCUUUUUCUUCUCUUGUCGGCACCAGUCUGAACUUCCACUCUGAGAAACACUAAAUACUGAAGGAUCAGGAAGACAGUGUCUGGUACAUCAUCUUGACACCUGCUAGCAUUCUGAUGCUAAUAACAAUUAAGAAUAUCAGCAGAAAAAAAUCUGGAAGGAAAAUCUAGCUGUUAUUUCCAUGAGGGCCUCAUGCAGAGGGCAAGAGGCACUCCAGGAACAUCAUGGGGCACCCUACCUGCCACAUCCUCUCAGGACUCUGAGCCCUACCACAGUCCAGCCUUGGGAGCCACGCCUGCUCAGUCUCCAGAGAUGUGAAACCAGCCAAGAAAGCUUUUAGUGUGGCCGCCUCCUGCUGGAAGCCUGGGAUGCUGGAAUCAGGCCACGUCCUGUCUGUCUUUACAGCACGCUGGGCUGCACUCUAAGAAUAUGUGGGCUCUCCCCAGGAUCUGGACCAUCACAGGGCCAUAGAAAUUGGUAACAGUUUUGUUUUGCUUGUUGAAACAUUUAAUGACAAAAGUUCUUUCAAUUCCUGAUGUGGCUGAAGUGUGGAGCCCAGUGAUGAUUUCUUUAAGAAAUGUACAUCCUAGUUCCCACAUGAAGGUGAGCCCUUAGUCCAACGAUGAGAGACCCUGCAUGUGUGUGGCCUGUGGCUCCUAGGAGAGCAGCUUUAAGCUAGUUUAAACCUGACCAAGUUCUGUCUACAUGGUAGAUUGAGGCUACCAUGUGGCCUCAAUCUGUGGCUCCCUUGUGGCUCAGAUGGAAAAGAAUCGCCUGCAAUGCAGGAGACCCAGGUUUGACCCCUGAGUUGGGAGGAUCACCUGGAGAAGUGAAUGGUUACCCACUACCAAUGGACAGGAGAGUCUGGCAGGCUGCAGUCCAUGGGGUCAAAAGUGUCAGACAUGAUAACAUUUUCAUUUCACUUUUCAAGUCCUGUCUACACUGAUUAUGUUUAGACAAGACCGUGUGCUUUCUGCAAAAGAGAACAUUUAGACCUGACCCUGUUUUGUGUGCACUAAGACAAGGAGACCUGAGUAGAGAGCUGGCCUGGCCUCUGUCUGGGAAACUCCGUGCCUGCGUUUGAGCGUCAGUGCUUAGAUGCCUGGGCUCUGGGACUGGGGUGGGCUUCUCUGGGUGACCAUGCUCUCCUCUGAGUGGGCUUCCAUGGCCCUCCUGGGGGUCAGUGCUGCGGUCGGGCUCCUAGUCUGUCCCCCGCCAGGUUCACCUGCCUGGGGCUCAUGGAGACCCCUCAGGUGGGCUACUUGAUAAUCAUUCCAAUUUUCCAGCACAUUCAGGUUGAGUAGGGAGGCAGGUUCACCUGGUGAAUUGGUUCCAGGGCACAGGGAUUGACAGGCAAAAAGUCAAUGGGCAGCAGGUGAGGUUGCUGCUGUGAUCUCUUCCAGUCGACUCUCUCCUCGGAAGGGAACAGAGCUGCCCCUCGUCUUUCAGCCCAUCUCUCCUGUGUUUUCUCAGCACCUCAGCGGGGCAAGAAAGACAGAGCCUGCCAGAACCAAGUUGACCAUCCCUCCUGAGCAGAAGGCAGACCUCCCCCUCAUCUCCCAGCCCUGCGUCUGGUGUGUUUUCUCAACGCCUCAGUGGAACAAGAAAGGACUGAGCCUGCCAGAACCAAGGGAUGGGGACUUGUGCAGAGGGCAAAGGGACUCCAGGAACAUCGUGGGGUCACAUUGCCUGCCACAUCCUCCCAGGAUCCUGAGCCCCACAACAAUCCAGCCGUGGGCCCCCAAGCCUGCCCAGUCUCCAGAGAUGUGAAACCAGCCAAGGAAUUUGAGAACUGCAAAGUGAAGAGAUUAUCGUGUUGAAGCAGCUGGGAAGUGACCAGUUUGAAGCAGUCUCUCUGGGCAGGUGGGAGGGGCAGUAUGAUGUUCUGUUAAGAUGAUCAAGGAGGGCUCCAUGCCAGAUGAUUUCUUCCAGGAGGCCCAGACCACAGAAGGUUUCCAGUUUGAUCACCUCCUGCUGGAAACUUGGGAUGCAGGAACCAGGCUGAAUCCCGUCUAUCUUUACAGGACACUGGGCUGCACUCAUCUCCUCUGGAUCCUGACCAUCAUGUGGCCAUAGAAAUUGUCGACUCUCUCCUCCAAAGAGAACAGACCUCCCCGUCUCUCCCAGCCCUGCGUCUGGCGUGUGUUCUCAACGCCUCAGUGGAACAAGAAAGGAGCAGCCCUGCCAGACCCAAGAGACUGAAAACUCCUGCAGAUGGCAAGAGGCACUCCAGGAACAUCGUGGGGUCACCGGGCUGCCACAUCCUCCCAGGACCCUGAGCCCCACAACAAUCCAGCUGUGAGCCCCCAAGCCUGCCCAGUCUCCAGAGAUGUGAUACCAGCCAAGAUACAGAUUUCUUUGUAUAUGUGGAAGGAAGGAACGGAGGAGGGAAGUGUUCACCGCAGGACCUUUCCUGGGGGUGAGCGUCUGUGUGCCAAGUCGCUUCAAUCUUGUCCAACUCUUUGUGACCCUGUGAACCACAGACCACCAGUCUCCUCUGUCCAUGGGAUUCUCCAGGAAAGAAUACUGGAGUGGGUUAUCAAGCCCUCCUCCAAGGGAUCUUCCUGACCCAGGGAUCGAACCAGCAUCUUGAUGUCUCCUGCAUUGGCAGGCAGUUCUUUACCACUAGUACCACCUGCGAAGCCCCAGUAGAAUCAUAAAAAGUCAUUAACAACUCA